AGUGAACGCUGGCGGUAGGCCUAACACAUGCAAGUCGAACGGCAGCACAGUAAGAGCUUGCUCUUACGGGUGGCGAGUGGCGGACGGGUGAGGAAUACAUCGGAAUCUACUUUUUCGUGGGGGAUAACGUAGGGAAACUUACGCUAAUACCGCAUACGACCUACGGGUGAAAGCAGGGGAUCUUCGGACCUUGCGCGAUUGAAUGAGCCGAUGUCGGAUUAGCUAGUUGGCGGGGUAAAGGCCCACCAAGGCGACGAUCCGUAGCUGGUCUGAGAGGAUGAUCAGCCACACUGGGACUGAGACACGGUCCAGACUCCUACGGGAGGCAGCAGUGGGGAAUAUUGGACGAUGGGCGCAAGCCUGAUCCAGCCAUACCGCGUGGGUGAAGAAGGCCUUCGGGUUGUAAAGCCCUUUUGUUGGGAAAGAAAAGCAGCAGGUUAAUACCCCGCUGUUCUGACGGUACCCAAAGAAUAAGCACCGGCUAACUUCGUG
rnacentral:rRNA from 1 species